AACGCGAAGAACCUUACCUGGGUUUGACAUGCACAGGACGCUGGUAGAGAUAUCAGUUCCCUUGUGGUCUGUGUGCAGGUGGUGCAUGGCUGUCGUCAGCUCGUGUCGUGAGAUGUUGGGUUAAGUCCCGCAACGAGCGCAACCCUUGUCUCAUGUUGCCAGCGGGUAAUGCCGGGGACUCGUGAGAGACUGCCGGGGUCAACUCGGAGGAAGGUGGGGAUGACGUCAAGUCAUCAUGCCCCUUAUGUCCAGGGCUUCACACAUGCUACAAUGGCCGGUACAAAGGGCUGCGAUGCCGUGAGGUUAAGCGAAUCCUUUAAAGCCGGUCUCAGUUCGGAUCGGGGUCUGCAACUCGACCCCGUGAAGUCGGAGUCGCUAGUAAUCGCAGAUCAGCAACGCUGCGGUGAAUACGUUCCCGGGCCUUGUACACACCGGCUAC
rnacentral:rRNA from 1 species